rnacentral:lncRNA from 1 species
AGGAAAUAGACAGAGAUCAGUUAGUGCUUCAGUUUCUUUCCCAAGUAAGCUUCAAAAUAGCAUACUGAUUUCAGGGCCGAGCUAGUUCUAGUAAAGGACUCCGUUCCGUAGCUGUAGAAGGAAGACAUUUUCAGGCUCAUGUACAACAUGAGAUUAUGUGCCAACUAUCCGACCCCUACUGAAUAUCAACCAUAUUGGGAACUAACAGAUUGGAUCUGUAUGCAUAGUUGAGUGCUAUAAUAUUAGUAAGAGCAAAGUGCUACCUAAAGUUUUUAAAAACUGCCAAGAACACCUUGCACGAAAUUGUUUCUGUAUGUAUUAGGUUGGAAUACAAAACUUUGUACGCACGUGCUGUAAUCUUAUGCUAUUUCCACGUUGACAUCAUCUUAUUAAGAAUGGAUUAAACCUCAGUUGAUCCAAUACUGAUUUGACUUUUGAUCUAUGUGUUAGGGCGUACUAACAGAAUGACUUUUCAAGACAUCUCUAGGUUUUAACCAGUAAAAACAUUUGCGCCCCUGUUUCUUCUUGCUGUAGUCAAAUAAAUUGAAAUAAUUUGCUAGUUUGAUCGUGUUUUUCUCAAUUGUUCAAGGGUCUUUUAGUUCCAGCGAACAUUCCCUCCAUGAGGUUCGGCUGGUUUAGGAGAUCAUUGAAAUACAUUGUAGUCAGAUAAAUUGAAAUAAUUUGCUAGUUUGAUCGUGUUUUUCUCAAUUGUUUAAGGGUCUUUUAGUUCCAGCGAACAUUCAGUUUUGUAUCUGCGUCCGUAUCGUAUUCAUUUCUGGGCCUUUUGUAUUCGUUUCCACUUCUGGAAAACAUUAUGAAAACAAAUGCUGCAGCACUCAGUUCCUUCUGUUUUCAUCCCUACCUGUAAGCUGAUGUAACCUUUCUUUUUAGUAGCUAACUCCGCCACAAUGCUAAAAUUUCUGCAGUUUCUACAUUUAUUACUUUGUGAUGCAAAAGAGUUGACAGAAAAGUUCUGUUCUCACCCAGUCUUGUGAAAACUCUCUUCUGGCAUUUUAAUGGAACUUUGAGUACAUUCAACAACAGCAACAACAACAAAGUCUUUUAGUCCCAAACAAGUUGGGUUAGGCUAGAGUUGAAACCCAUAAGAUCUCGAAACCAACUCUUGGUUCUGGCACGUGGAUAGCUAGCUUCAACGCACUCCUGUCCUGGCUAGUUCUUUGGUGAUAUUCUGGUCCUUCAGAUAGACUAUUUCUGUUGAAAGAGCAGUAUAAUUUUGCUGUUGUGGUUAUAACGAAAAUGCUAUGUUAGAUGCUUUCAGGUUGCUAGUAUGUCCUCGGGACACCUUGGAAGCGCUAA